CCAAUGGGGAAGCCUGAGCCUGUUUUUCAGGCACAAGCACCUGGGGGUUUCACUGUCACAGAGCUGGGACAUAUUGGUGUGUGCCAGGAGCUCCUGGGCUCUCUGCUCUGGAUGUAGUCAAGAAGCCUGUGAUCAGAUGAGUGAUUUGCGCUUCAAAGACGGGAAAACUGAGAGAAUUUUGACUCAAUGGCUUCAAAUCAGAGACAGCUUGACAUUUCCCAGAUGUGGACAAGGAAGAAGACCAAAGAUGUGCUGAGGGGAUGCGCAUUCUACAGGUUGCUGUAGAAACUGAACCAAGCUUGGACUGUAAGCUUCUCGUAGGGGUGUUUACUGACAGGAGACAACCUCAAGAGCAAUCCCAGGAGCUGUGCUCCCAGGUGACAGUGCAAGGUCAGCAAUCUGAAAUUUUCACCCAAGUUUCCACAUUUGCCACAACUGAAGACGGCAGAAUCUGAGGCCCUCCACUGAAAUAUGACCAAAUGAAAUGCUUCAAAGUGACUCCUGCAGUUAUCCUUGUGGGCCUGCUCCAGCAUCCUGAUCUAAAAUGGUUAUUCCUGAAUCAGAAACCAGAUUCAUGAGCCUCCUGGUAAAGAUGCACUUCAUUCCCAGAUUGACUGCUAAGUCUUCAACACUUCUGGUUUCGUUCCUCAAGGGGAUAUGUCUACUUUUGGCAGAGAGGUAUGAUGGCAAUUUAGUAUCCAUUUGUACAGGUCAGCUCAGAUCUAUCAACAUAUGUCUAUCCAGAGAAACAGAUUUAUUUUUUUUACAAGAGCAACAACAUAUUUUAGUGAGGUCCUGGGAGAAUGUAGGCUAAACAUAUGCUUAAGUAUGCAUUCUCCCUCCAGGUUACAAGGUGCUUAAUAGAUAAAGUGCUGUGUAAGUGAUCAUGCCUCUCUUCUCCAUUUUUUGUGCAUUUUUGACUGGUCUGUAAACUGUGGGUUCAAGACAGUCCCCUUCCUGAUCUUUUGUUUGUGAUCAACACUGUUUCAAACAGAGCUUGAAUCUAGAAAACAGAAAACCAAAAUGCCCUCUGACUACCCCCAAAUAAGUAAUAACAAGGAUUUGUAUUGAAAUAAUAAAAUCUAAAUUUCAUUAUUCUGCUACCCUAAGAAUGGGGGCAAAUUGCCAGUGAUAAUGCUAUGCAUAUUUAUUUUUUUCCUUCAUAAAAUGAAGAUAGAAAAAUUCAGACUAGCUGAACUAGAUUAGAAACCUGAUCUAACUAUGAUCUUUAGAAAGUCUAGCACUCUUCCUGAUUAGACUCUCAGACUGGAUCAUCAGUCUCUGGGACUGUGAAAUACAACAUUUAUAGUAAUGUCGAUCCUUACCAUUGUGGUGACUGAAAGCAUUUUAAGUGACUCACCACAUGUGAGAAAAAAGAAAAUAAACUUUUUUUUUUUUU